rfam:Ferroplasma sp. Type II genomic scaffold AMDT4_FER2S00005, whole genome shotgun sequence.
CAGUUGGAGGUAAACCAAUCUAUGAAAAAACCUGAAAUCAUAGUAGCAAAUCGGACGCACCGGUUGAGUAAUCACCGAUGUGAAAGCUCCGAGGAUAAAGCACCCGUGAGCGAAAGCUCAGGCCGUACAGGGGUGCGAGCAAGCAACCUGGCCACAGCAUUA